rnacentral:tRNA from 3 species
GGACCCGUAGCUCAGCUGGAUAGAGCGUCGCCCUCCGAAGGCGAAGGUCGUGAGUUCGAAUCUCGUCGGGUCCGCCA